rnacentral:lncRNA from 1 species
CCUCAGGAUGUGGGUUUUCACACUGUGUCUCUCGCACAGUAAUACACGGCCGUGUCGUCAGAUCUCAGCCUGCUCAGCUCCAUGUAGGCUGUGCUGAUGGACGUGUCCCUGGUCAUGGUGACCCAGCCCUGAAACUUCUGUGCAUAGUUUGUGCCACCACUGUUAGGGUUGAUCCAUCCCAUCCACUCAAGCCCUUGUCCAGGGGCCUGUCGCACCCAGUGCAUAUAGUAGCCGGUGAAGGUGUAUCCAGAAGCCUUGCAGGAGACCUUCACUGAGGCCCCAGGCUUCUUCACCUCAGC